UCUUUCCUCGCCUUCUUCUUUCUAUCUUCUUCUUUCUUCCCAAUGAUGAGAUCUCUCUUAUGAGUGGAAGAGAGAGAAGAAGAAAGAGCAGCUCUCUUUGGAAUAAAAGAGAGAUCAAGACAAGCUGGGUACACUGAAAAUAAUAUGUCUUUUCUCAAAUAGUUUGGCAGUCCUUGUAUUAAGA
rnacentral:ribozyme from 13 species